rnacentral:rRNA from 1 species
UGGACCCCAAGCCUUAGUUACUAGUCGGUCGUGAGGCCGACGAACGCGCAGGGUUAGGACCAUUUGAACUCUUGACCUCAAAUC